AGUAUACUUAGAACAUUUUUAAGAAAUAACUUCGGUGUUUCUGCAUAAUUUGUAAAUUUUUACAGCAUUCACUUUCCAUAGUCUGUAAAAUCACUUAUUAGUGAAAAAUAACAGGAAAAAAACUAUCUUAUAAAAACCUAAGAAUGAAAAAUCAACUGCAGACGGUACAGGGGCAGAGAGGUUGUGCCAGUUUUAUUCACUGUUGUUUCCCAUAAAAGGCAGUUAAAGUAACUGUUGAAUGAAUGAAAAAAAUUAAAACAGGGCCAAGUGCUUACCAGCAUCACAAUGACCUACAGGCUUGCUUAGUCAUCAUAAUAGACAUAAGAUAGAAUUUACAGUUGACCCUCUGUAUUUGUGGGUUUUGCAUCCAUGGACUCAGCCAACCAUGGAUUGAAAAUAUUUUUUAAAAACUGCAUUUGUAUUGAACAUGCACAGACUUUUUUGGUCAUUAUUUCAUAUGCAGUACAGUAUAACAACUAUUUACAUAGUAUUUACAUUGUGUUAAGUAUUAUAAGUAAUUUAGAGAUGAUGUGAAGAGUUCAUGGCAGGAUGUGCAUAGGUUACAUGCAAAUACUAUGCCAUUUUAUAUCAGGUACUUGAGCAUCUGUGAAUUUUGGUAUCCCAGGGAAGUCCUGAAACUAAUCCCUCAUGGAUAGCAAGGGACAACUGUGUAUCUAUAUUCAAGUCAAAGAUAAUGUAGUAUGAACACAAUUUGGUCCAACAAAUUGAAUAAGCUAAUAGAACAGUAUUUUUUUUGAAACUAAGCAGCUAUUUGAAAAGUCUUAGAUUAAAACAAUAGCAAUUGUAAUAAAAGGUUAUCUAAAAAUACUUAUUUUGCCUCAGAAAACAAGCAUUCUCUAAUCUUAAUACUAAGAAAUCAACUAAUACAAGUAGAUAACAUCAGUCUGGCUCCCAUUCGUAAUAAAAAUUUCCAAAGUGAAAACACGCCUGAUGCCUGCAUUAGUCCUUGGUAUGGGGCAGGAAGGACGAGACUCUCAGUUGGGGCUGCUGGUCCCUACAGAGGGGAACAGAAAGGAGCUGGAGCAACUACUGUGAAGCAGGAGACAUAGCCAAGACAUGCACCUAACUCGCCUGAGUUUACAGCAGGUCCCCAAAAAUGCAUUUUAUAACUGGAUUGUGGAAAACUACACUAUUUACUUUCCUAAAUUAGAUGUCAUAGUUAACUAAAGUUAAUCAAAAAUAAGGAUGCCCUUUUUGAAUUACUGCGUUUUAUAUUUUUAACUCAUUUUGAGCAAUUCAUUAAAAUAUAGUUCUAGGACAUCUUUUUGAAAUUUACCAUAAAAAUUAGCCUUACUGAUGUUUAGAAAUGUCUUAUAUUUAGUAUACAGAUAAUAAAAACUAAUUGAGAAGUGAGAAGUGAGGGGAAAAAUGGCAUAACUUUUUGUCUGUAAGAACCAACAGGAAAAAGUCAAUGAAUUCCAAAGUGGAAUCAGAAAACCCCAAUAUCAGUUCUCUUAUCUGUACAAGCAGGAUGUUCCUUUUCAGGCCACUCAUUUUCUAGAGUAGCCAGAGAGAAUGAACAGAUAACCCAAUGAAGAAGGAGUAUCAAGUAAAUUUUAUCUCCCAAUUCAGACAUAUUUUCCUUGGUUGUUUAUUUUAUAGAGCAAAAAUGCCACGUUAAGUUAAAAGUUUUUUUUCUCUUUUGAAAACUCCCUUUUCCUUUUCUUUUUUUUUUUUUUUUUGAGACAGGGUUUCACUCUGUCACCUAGGCUGGAUGGAGUACAGUGGUGCAAUCUCGGCUCACUGAAACCUCCAACUCCCAGGUGUAAGCGAUUCUCAUGCCUCAGCCUCCGCAGCAGCUGGGAUUACAGGCAUGUACCAUCAUACCCGGCUAAUUUUUUGUUAUCUUUAGUAGAGAUGGGGGUUUUGCUAUGUUGGCCAGGCUGGUCUCGAACUGCUGGCCUCAAGUGAUCCACCCGUCUUGGCCUCUCAAAGUGCUGGGAUUACAGGCGUGAGCCACCAUGCCCAACUGAAAGCUCCCUUCUAAUGAUCCACAACUUAGAAGCACUUCAUUUCAACUGCUAUUUGGGGUGGGGGUGGGGGGUUCCCUAUGAUUGUGUAUUUUUAUCAAAAUAAAAAGACUUAAAAAUACAAUGGGUGGUACAACACUGAGAUAUUUUCAUUUUUUUCACAUGGGGCCAUUAGUAUUUUCAAAGAGGAAAUGAAAAAGAAAUUGUGCAAAAGGGAAGCAAUGAUGCCUCAGAGAGCAAAGAAGGACAAUUAUAUCUGAAUGCAAAGUUAUGAAGACUGAUCUCUAGGGAUAUUAACUAAGAGAGAAAAAGAAGCCACAAGUUCUAUGCAGAAAAUCACCUGCUUCAUUUCCCUACAACAGAGGGUCAAGGCUCAAUUAUACAUGGUUACCACUCUCCUAAGACGAAUAUCUGACACUGAUGGAAUAAACAUUACCAACACCUAUUAUGUAUGGUUCCAGUCUGAGUUACUGUGGGUAUAGACUGACAUGAUCCCUGUUCCGUAGGAGCACACAGGUUAGUUGUGGCUGCAGAAUAUAUACCUUUUGUCGUGGAGAAGCUCUUUAGUUUAAUUAGAUCCCAUUUGUCAAUUUUGGCUUUUGUUGCCAUUGCUUUUGGUGUUUCAGUCAUCAAGUCUUUGCCCAUGCCUGUGUCCUGAAUGGUAUUGCCUAGGUUUUCUUCUAGGGUUUUUAUGGUUUUAGGUCUUACGUUUAAGUCUUAAAUCCAUCUUGAGUUAAUUUUUGUAUAAGGUGUAAGGAAGGUGUCCAGUUUCAGUAUUCUGCAUAUGGCUAGACAGUUUUCCCAACACCAUUUAUUAAAUAGGGAAUCCUUUCCCCAUUGCUUAUUUUUGUCAGGUUUAUCAAAGAGUGAACAGGCAACCUAUAGAACGGCAGAAAAUUUCUGCAAUCUAUCCAUCUGACAAAGGGAUAAUAUCCAGAAUCUACAAGGAACUUAAACAAAUUUACAAGAAAAAACCCAGUCAAAAAGUGGGCGAAGGAUAUGAACAGACACUUCUCAAAAGAAGACAUUUGAAACAUAUGAAAUGUUUCAAACAAACAUAUGAAAAAAAGCUCAUCAUCACUGGUCAUUAGAGAAAUGCAAAUCAAAACUACAAUAAGAUACCAUCUCACGCCAGUUAGAAUGGCAAUCAUUAAAUAGUCAGGAAACAACAGAUGCUGGAGAGGAUGUGGAGAAAUAGGAAUGCUUUUACACUGUUGGUGGGAGUGUAACUUAGUUCAACCAUUGUGGAAGACAGUUUGGUGAUUCCUCAAGGAUCUUGAACUAGAAAUACCAUUUGACCCAGCAAUCCCAUUACUGGGUAUAUACCCAAAGGAUUAUAAAUCAUUCUACUAUAAAGACACAUGCACAUGUAUGUUUAUUGUGGCACUGUUCACAAUAGCAAAGACUUGGAACCAGCCCAAAUGUCCAUCAAUGAUAGACUGGAUUAAGAAAAUGUGGCACAUAUACACCAUGGAAUACUAUGCCGCCAUAAAAAAGGAUGAGUUCAUGUCCUUUGCAGAGACAUGGAUGAAGCCGGAAACCAUCAUUCUCAGCAAACUACCACAAGAACGGAAAACCAAAUACUACAUGUUCUCACUCAUAAGUGGGAGUUGAACAAUAAGAACACAUGGACACAGGGAGGGGAACAUCACACACCGGGGCCUGUCAUUGGCAGGGGGUGGGGGUGGGGGAGGGAUAGCAUUAGGAGAAAUACCUAAUAUAGAUGACGGGUUGAUGGGUGCAACAAACCACCAUAGCACGUGUAUACCUAUGUAACAAACCUGCACGUUCUGCACAUGUAUCCCAGAACUUAAAGUAUGUAUAUAAAAAAAGAAUAUAUACCUUUUGUCAAGUUAAGAAAUAUAAAUGUUAAAUAAGAUCUGCCAUAACGUGGUAUCAGAGUGACAAAUCAACAUUUAAAAACAAUAUUAUAUGGUAUAAAAAAGUACCACAGAAGGUCAGAAAAGGAAAAGAGUACUAUGGAUAUUUGGUGAUUUUUGCCUUAAAAAAUGUACAAUUAAGAAAGACAAAGAAAAAAGUGUGUGUGUGGUUGUAGGGGAGGGCAUGACUGCCAAAAAAGAAGUCAGAGAUUAGAACCACAGAUGAUUAGAUUCUAAGAUGACCUUCUGGCUACCGUGAAGUGUAAUUUAUACAUGCUGUACGGAUUCAGAUGAGAAAAGUGCCCAAUGGGCUGGACUGUUCACACUCUUGUACUCAUUAUGAGAUGGAUUGAAAGCACUGAGAACAGCAAAUGCUUGGGGAGGUAGGACGGGAGAGGGAGGAAAGGAAGUGCUUGUUUGAAUGAGACACAGAAGAUAUGUGUUGGAGUUAUCCAAAGCGGAGAUGAAAACCAGCAAAAAUAAGAUUUACUAGAAGAAAGUCCACUUAUGUGCCUAAUAGUAUUAACAAAAAGAGAUAUGAGGAAGAAAGACAAUGAUAGUUGUACAGCCAACUCUUACAGAGACAGAUUCAAGCCAAGUUACUGGUUAAUUGCUGAUAGAGCCUAAAGAUCACCUCUAUGAGGCAAAAUCAGCUAAUUUAAGGGGAGAAAGACCAGAGAUAGAACUUCAAGGAGAAGGAAGAAAAAUGUGGCGGAAACCACAAAGAUAAAAAUGCUAAGAGCUACAGAACUGGCCCAUAGGUUCACCACUUAGGCAUGAGGACACCAAACUUCAGCAAGAGAAGUUAUUGGGUGGGGCGGGAGGGAGUGAGAGAAUGGGAGGAGGGAGAAUGAGAAUGUGUAAAUAAGGAUAGCUCAUUGGGUGAUAAGCAAAUGAUAUUCAACAAGAGGAUGUUUUCUUUCUAGGAGCUUCGCACCUAAAGAGAAGAGAAAAACAAGGUAGGGGGAAACUCAAGAUCCCAGGGGGAGAGACUAGAGAAUGCUUCCAUGCUGAGGACAAAGAGGCGGGGAAGAAAGUGGGGCAUUCUUGGAAGAAUCAGGGUAGAAUGGGAUCUAGAGAAGAUGGAGAGGCUUUUGCCCUGGAUAAGAAAAGGGGCUUCUUUAUCAAACUAGACUUAGGAGGGAGGUAUGUUCAUCCUGCUAAGUUUUUUGGUAGCAAAGGCAAGAAAUGCAUGGAGUUUGCUCACCUUGGCCAGUGCUGAGUAGAAGGGUCCUAUGUCUGGGAAGAAUGAGAAAGGAGAAUGGCACUUGGCUAGGGGAAAAAUAUUUGCCUUUAAGAGAAGCACAGGAGUGUCCAGGGUAUCCUUGAGGGUUUUACAAAAACAAACAAACAAAACUUGCAAUAAAGGAUUAAAUUGCUUAGUUACUGCUGAUGGGAGUGUAAAUUGUUGAAACCUUUCUGGAAUGUAUUGUGCAACUAUGUAAUCAAAGCCAUAUAAAAGUUAAUAUAUGUUGACCUGAUAAUUCAUUUAGAAAAAUUUAAGCAAAAAUAAAAAAUAUUU
rnacentral:lncRNA from 1 species